CUGCGACAGGGAUAGUAGUGGAAAUCCUUUUGCUUUUUAGAUUCUUCACUUCGUUCAGAAUGACAAAUGUUCUAAAAAGCAAAAGAUUGCAACGGAUAGCCCGGUGACAA
rfam:Epilithonimonas sp. 36-9 SCNpilot_cont_300_bf_scaffold_240, whole genome shotgun sequence.